rnacentral:rRNA from 1 species
GAUGAACGCUAGCGGCAGGCUUAAUACAUGCAAGUCGAGGGGCAGCAUGAAUGUAGCAAUACAUUUGAUGGCGACCGGCAAACGGGUGCGGAACACGUACACAACCUUCCUAUAAGUGGGGAAUAGCCCAGAGAAAUUUGGAUUAAUACCCCGUAACAUAAUGAUGUGGCAUCACAUUAUUAUUAUAGCUUCGGCGCUUAUUGAUGGGUGUGCGGCUGAUUAGAUAGUUGGCGGGGUAACGGCCCACCAAGUCUACGAUCAGUAGCUGAUGUGAGAGCAUGAUCAGCCACACGGGCACUGAGACACGGGCCCGACUCCUACGGGAGGCAGCAGUAAGGAAUAUUGGUCAAUGGACGCAAGUCUGAACCAGCCAUGCCGCGUGAAGGAUUAAGGUCCUCUGGAUUGUAAACUUCUUUUAUCUGGGACGAAAAAAGGCUAUUCUUAGUCACUUGACGGUACCAGAUGAAUAAGCACCGGCUAACUCCGUGCCAGCAGCCGCGGUAAGAC